rnacentral:rRNA from 1 species
GACGAACGCUGGCGGCGUGCUUAACACAUGCAAGUCGAACGGAAAGGCCCUGCUUUUGUGGGGUGCUCGAGUGGCGAACGGGUGAGUAACACGUGAGUAACCUGCCCUUGACUUUGGGAUAACUUCAGGAAACUGGGGCUAAUACCGGAUAGGAGCUCCUGCUGCAUGGUGGGGGUGGGAAAGUUUCGGCGGUUGGGGAUGGAUGCGCGGCUUAUCAGCUUGUUGGUGGGGUAGUGGCUUACCAAGGCUUUGACGGGUAGCCGGCCUGAGAGGGUGACCGGCCACAUUGGGACUGAGAUACGGCCCAGACUCCUACGGGAGGCAGCAGUGGGGAAUAUUGCACAAUGGGCGGAAGCCUGAUGCAGCAACGCCGCGUGCGGGAUGACGGCCUUCGGGUUGUAAACCGCUUUCGCCUGUGACGAAGCGUGAGUGACGGUAAUGGGUAAAGAAGCACCGGCUAACUACGUG